GGAGGGAUGGCAGAGUGGUCGAUUGCACCGGUCUUGAAAACCGGCAGGAUGUGAGUCCUCCAGAGUUCGAAUCUCUGUUCCUCCGCCA
rnacentral:tRNA from 1 species